rnacentral:rRNA from 1 species
UACGAAGGGGGCUAGCGUUGCUCGGAAUCACUGGGCGUAAAGCGCACGUAGGCGGAUCUUUAAGUCAGGGGUGAAAUCCCAAGGCUCAACCUUGGAACUGCCUUUGAUACUGGGGAUCUCGAGUCCGGAAGAGGUGAGUGGAACUGCGAGUGUAGAGGUGAAAUUCGUAGAUAUUCGCAAGAACACCAGUGGCGAAGGCGGCUCACUGGUCCGGUACUGGACGCUGAGGUGCGAAAGC